rnacentral:rRNA from 1 species
CCUACGGGAGGCUGCAGUGGGGAAUAUUGCGCAAUGGGCGAAAGCCUGACGCAGCGACGCCGCGUGAGGGAUGAAGGUCUUCGGAUCGUAAACCUCUGUCAGCAGGGAAGAACGGGCACUGUGCUAAUCAGCAGUGAAUUGACGGUACCUGCAAAGGAAGCACCGGCUAACUCCGUGCCAGCAGCCGCGGUAAUACGGAGGGUGCGAGCGUUAAUCGGAAUUACUGGGCGUAAAGCGCUCGUAGGCGGUAUGUCAAGUCAAGGGUGAAAUCCCCGCGCUCAACGUGGGAACUGCCUUUGAAACUGGCAGACUGGAGUGUGUGAGAGGGUAGUGGAAUUCCAGGUGUAGGGGUGAAAUCCGUAGAUAUCUGGAGGAACAUCAGUGGCGAAGGCGACUCUCUGGCCCAUAACUGACGCUGAGGAGCGAAAGCGUGGGUAGCAAACAGGAUUAGAUACCCUUGUAGUC